UGCAGUCGAGCGAGUCUGCCUUGAGAUCGGAGUGCUUGCACUCUGNNNAACAAGAUACAGGCUAGCGGCGGACGGGUGAGUAACACGUGGGUAACCUGCCCAAGAGAUCGGGAUAACACCUGGAAACAGAUGCUAAUACCGGAUAACAACAGAUGAUGCCUAUCAACUGUUUAAAAAAUGGUUCUGCUAUCACUCUUGGAUGGACCUGCGGUGCAUUAGCUAGUUGGUAGGGUAACGGCCUACCAAGGCGAUGAUGCAUAGCCGAGUUGAGAGACUGAUCGGCCACAUUGGGACUGAGACACGGCCCAAACUCCUACGGGAGGCAGCAGUAGGGAAUCUUCCACAAUGGACGCAAGUCUGAUGGAGCAACGCCGCGUGAGUGAAGAAGGGUUUCGGCUCGUAAAGCUCUGUUGUUGGUGAAGAAGGACAGGGGUAGUAACUGACCUUUGUUUGACGGUAAUCAAUUAGAAAGUCACGGCUAACUACGUGCCAGCAGCCGCGGUAAUACGUAGGUGGCAAGCGUUGUCCGGAUUUAUUGGGCGUAAAGCGAGUGCAGGCGGCUCGAUAAGUCUGAUGUGAAAGCCUUCGGCUCAACCGGAGAAUUGCAUCAGAAACUGU
rnacentral:rRNA from 1 species